GGGCCUUUCCAGCAUGGGGCCAGAGUAGUUUUUCAUUGAUGGACCUUUAUGUAGACCCAGUCACCUGGUUUUAACAAAUGGCAUGUUUGCUCAGGAUCCUUGGAGCAGGACUUCUUUCACCUCAGCGACUGCUCCACUGCUAACUG